GAUGAAGAACGUAGCGAAAUGCGAUACGUAAUGUGAAUUCCAAAUUCAGUGAAUCAUCGAGUCUUUGAACGCACAUUGCGCCCCCUGGUAUUCCGGGGGGCAUGCCUGUCCGAGCGUCAUUGCUGCCCUCAAGCACGGCUUGUGUGUUGGGCCCCGUCCUCCGAUCCCGGGGGACGGGCCCGAAAGGCAGCGGCGGCACCGCGUCCGGUCCUCGAGCGUAUGGGGCUUUGUCACCCGCUCUGUAGGCCCGGCCGGCGCUUGCCGAUCAACCCAAAUUUUUUAUCCAGGUUGACCUCGGAUCAGGUAGGGAUACCCGCUGAACUUAAGCAUAUCAAUAAGCGGAGGA
rnacentral:misc_RNA from 1 species